AUGAAGGGACAUGACCUUGUCGGUGCAUCCGACGAGCCUGCCGCCGAUGAACACCGCCGGCACAGCAGGGUUCCGGCCGAGGAGCCGCACCAGCGCCUUCUCCAUCUCCUUCCCCCUAGGGUCCUCGUCAAGUUCCACCACCAUCGGGUUCACCCCGAGAUCCCGGAGGAGGCUCGUCACGGUGUGGCACAUGCAGCAGGAGCUCAUGCCGAAGAUCACCACCGCCCGCUGCCCCGCUAG
rnacentral:rRNA from 1 species